GCUGUGAAAAAUAACGCGUUAUGAUUAAAUUACAGGAUUAAUUAGUUAAUUUUUUUAACGCAUUUAACGCAUGCGCAGAAUGAGCUUCCAAUAUACCGAUUCAAUCUGAACUAUUUCCAGUUCUAAUGCAGUCAGACGUUAACUGCUAUCCAAGCAAGCAACAUGUAUAAUUCCGAUGAGCCUGGGGACCUUCUGGAUGGGAAGUUUGUGUUCCAAAAAUUCAAAGAUGGAACAUUAAAUAAAUCAAAAGUGAUAUGUACAUUCUGCGGCAAGACGUUGUCGUUUCACCAUAGCACAACCAGCCUUAAGUACCAUCUCAACGCGAAGCAUGCGUUUGUCGGUGAGGUGAGUGGAAUGCGCCAAACCACCCUCACUGAACAACGUCGGCCCCUCACUAAGUCUGCCUGUGACAAGCUAAUGAGCACAGUUGCGGAAUGGAUUGCAAAAAGCUGUCGACCAAUUAAUAUUGUUGAGGAUGAGGGGUUCACCAAAGUUUUGUGAGUGGCAACGGGGGACCCGAGCAUCAAAGCACCGCAAAGACGCACUAUCAUGACAAAAAUCCACGAGCUGUAUGAAGCUGAAAAGAACAAAAAGGAAAAAGACUUGGCUGCUACGGAACAUGUGGCGCUGACAGGGGAUCACUGGACCUCUGUGAGUAAUGAUAAUUAUCUGGGUGUAACUGCACAUCUAAUAACCGACAAAUGGAAAUUAAAGUCGUUUGCACUGACGUGCAUGAAAACCGAAGAGCGCCACUUUGCAGAGGCAUGUGCUGAACAGUUCAAAACUGUUGCAAGCAACUGGGCAAUUGAUCAGAAAACGACCACGAUAGGGACAGACAGUGCACGCAAUAUGGUAGCCGCGGCUAGACGACUGUCAUCUGAGCACACGCCGUGCAUCGCUGACAUUUAGCAGAGAAGCAUCACCGUGAGCCUCGCUGACAGCGGGUUUGUGAAUGCGUUGUCCAAGUGUCGCAAAAUUGUCGGCCACUUCAAGCACAGCCCAGCAAACACGGCGGAGCUCAACGCAGAGCAAGAGAACCGCAUGCAGGCGCAGCAGCCACUGAUCCAAGACGUCCCAACACGCUGGAACUCAACGCUGGACAUGGUGAAACGUCUGAUCCGCAAUACGGAUGUAGUGACGGCAGCCCUGGACCAGCAGAACCACAAACUAGUGAUGCUGACGCCACAGGAAUGGGACCGACUGCAGAGACUGGAGUCUCUUCUAGAGCCCUGCAAGUAUGUAACUGGUAUUCUGGGUGGGGAGGCCUCUGUCUCCUGCUCUGUGGUACUGCCUGCACUCUGCCACCUGCGUCAUGUAAUGGAAGUCACCGAAGAUGACCCUGCAUAUGUGGUCAAAUUUAAGACGGCAUUCAAGACAGACCUAGCCUCCCGCCAAGAAAAUACCAACAAUGAAGAAUGACUGCUCAAGAUUGCAACAGUGCUGGAUCCACGUCUUAAAGACCUGAAGAGCCUACCCAAGAGUGACAGACCAGAGGUGUGGACCACACUUGAGAGAUUGCUGCAGGAACAGUCACCCGGGGCCAGGAGGCCACAAGCUGCUGAAGAUGGGCCACCCAAGAAGAACAUGAGCCUUCUGGUAAUGGGCUCAGAUUGUGACUCGGAUGAAGAGGUGCAGCAGCCUCACAGAGCAGAGCCCAGCGUUGGUCUGGAGGUCUGGCCCUUGGAGUGGUGCUCAUCUCAUUCAGGAGCCCAUGAGCAGUUGGCCUCACUAGCUCGCAAAUAUCUAGCCACUCCUUCUUCCACGGUUCCAUGUGAAAGACGGUUCUCAGUCGCAGGACACAUUGUGCAAAAGAAGCGGUCAGCUUUACUGUCAGAGAAUGUGAACAAGUGAGUUUGCCUCACCAGCUGGCUAAAGGAAGACUAGCUAGGCGGGCCUUUAGAUUGUGUCAUGGUGUUAAUGGUUGAAAAAAAAGAGAAACAUGUUCUGUUUAAACAUUCUGUUUAGAAUGAGGUUAUAUUAAUGUUCCUAAACUGAUAAAUAACUGCUGAGUUGCAGCACCAUUGUUUGUUUUUUUAUGAAUAAAAAAGAAUGUAUAAAUGA